rnacentral:misc_RNA from 1 species
GAUGAAGAACGUAGCGAAAUGCGAUACGUAAUGUGAAUUGCAAAUUCAGUGAAUCAUCGAGUCUUUGAACGCACAUUGCGCCCACUGGUAUUCCGGUGGGCAUGCCUGUUCGAGCGUCAUUAUCCUCCCUCAAACCCCGGGUUUGGUGUUGGACCCAAGUUGUGUGAACAACUGGUCUCAAAGACAAUGACGGCGUCCGUGGGACCCUCGGUGCAACGAGCUUUUAGGAGCACGCAUCGAGUUGCAAGGACCUUCCGGGCCGGUCUCCUUUACCAUUUUACAAGGUUGACCUCGGAUCAGGUAGGAAUACCCGCUGAACUUAAGCAUAUCAAUAAGCGGAGGA